UACGUAGGGUGCAAGCGUUGUCCGGAAUUAUUGGGCGUAAAGAGCUCGUAGGCGGUCUGUCGCGUCUGCUGUGAAAACUGGAGGCUCAACCUCCAGCCUGCAGUGGGUACGGGCAGACUAGAGUGCGGUAGGGGAGAUUGGAAUUCCUGGUGUAGCGGUGGAAUGCGCAGAUAUCAGGAGGAACACCGAUGGCGAAGGCAGAUCUCUGGGCCGUAACUGACGCUGAGGAGCGAAAGCGUGGGGAGCGAACAGG
rnacentral:rRNA from 1 species